rnacentral:rRNA from 1 species
UAAUACUCCAUAGAUUAGAGACACUGGAAUGUUCUUUAGUCGAAAGUUCUGGCGCCUUAGGAUGGAUCUGCGGCCGAUUAGGUAGUUGUUGGGGUAACGGCCCAACAAGCCUGUAAUCGGUACGGGUUGUGGGAGCAAGAGCCCGGAGAUGGAAUCUGAGACACAAUUCCAGGCCCUACGGGGCGCAGCAGGCGCGAAAACUUUACAAUGCAGGAAACUGUGAUAAGGGAACUCCGAGUGCCCGUAUACGCGGGCUGUCCAGGUGUUUAAAAAUCAUCUGAAGAAAGGGCCGGGCAAGACCGGUGCCAGCCGCCGCGGUAAUACCGGCGGCUCGAGUGGUGGCCACUAUUAUUGGGCUUAAAGCGUCCGUAGCUGGACCGAUAAGUCUCUUGGGAAAUCCGCCGGCUCAACCGGCGGGCGUCUAAGGGAUACUGUUAGUCUAGGGACCGGGAGAGGUGAGAGGUACUCCGGGGGUAGGAGUGAAAUCCUGUAAUCCCCGGGGGACCACCGAUGGCGAAGGCAUCUCACCAGAACGGCUCCGACAGUGAGGGACGAAAGCUGGGGGAGCGAACCGGAUUAGAUACCCGGGUAGUCCCAGCCGUAAACUAUGCGCGUUAGGUGU